rnacentral:rRNA from 1 species
CAUGGUUUAGCUAGUCUAACCAAGCAAAAAGAAAUUCAGUUUGACUUCCCGAAACUAAGUGAGCUACCUUAAGACAGCCUAAUGGGCAAACCCGUCUCUGUUGCAAAAGAGUGGGAAGAUCUUAAAGUAGAGGUGAUAUACCUAACGAACUUAGCAAUAGCUGGUUAUUUAGGAAAAGAAUCUUAGUUCAACCUAAAGCUUUAUCAAUACCCCAAAAUAAUUAACUUUAGAGCUAUUCAAAUAAGUCACAGCUUGUUUGAAAUAGGAUACAACCUCAACCUGUGGGUAAUUAAUUACUGAACAAAAACAAGUAGGCCUAAAAGCAGCCACCUUUGAAAAAGCGUCAAAGCUUAACCUCCAACACUUUUAUAAUCCCUUAAACUAUUAAAAACCCCUCAACAGUACUAAAUAAUCCUAUACCCCUAUAGGACUCUUUAUGCUAAAACUAGUAACAAGAAAACCUUCUCUUAUAUGUAAGUGUAAAUCAGAAUAGAAAUACUACUGAUACCUAACAGCUUUAACUUAAAGUACUAAACUACUUAGAAAAAUCUACUGACUUAGCUGUUAAUCUAACACAAGAGCAUAAAAAGAAAGAUUAUAAGAAAAAGAAGGAAUUCGGCAAACCUUGAUUCCGCCUGUUU